CUCAGCGAGCGGCUCCCACCUGCUGCGCUCCUUGAGGCGCCGCUCAGUAACCCGGAAGUUCCAGAAUCCUCGAAUACUUACGACUGACCCCACAUUUCUCUGGAUGUUGGGGGUGUUGCCCUUUUAAGAAUUUGGCUACUAUUUCUGGAGAAAAACAGACAGCAUUCAAGUUUCCUUCACACUGGCAGAACAAGUUGGCUUCUCAUUCUCUGGGAAAGGCUGUGCCAUAGAACAAGACAGGAAAAGCCAACAAAUUUGAAGCACUUUUCACUUCUGAAGGUGAGGCUGGGAACUAGGACAUAUGGCUUCUCCUUUCUCGCAAGACCUAGGACCAUGACUUUGGAAUCUCUCAAGUUCUGAAAUAUUAGAGGGCGAAUAAGAGGUGAUGGGGAAUCAGAGGAGGAGACUAGCAGGAGGCUAUAGGGGAAGAAAGAAGAGAAAUGGAAGUAAAAUGAGUUGGGUUGGAGGGUAUGGAGAGAGGAAGAAAAAGAAUGAAAACACUAAGAGAGACAGAUGGAGAGGAGGAAUGGGAAGACAGGAAGAAAGGGGGACUAGAGU